rnacentral:pre_miRNA from 1 species
AUGUACUCCCUCCAUACCAUUAUGUGUCCAACUUUAAUCGUCGGUCUUUUAAAAAUAUCUUAUUUAAAAAAACUAUGGUUAUUAUUUUUGUUGUUAUUAGAUGAUAAAAUAUGAAAAAUACUUUAUGCGUGACUUAUAUUUUUAAUUAUUUUUUAAAAAAUUAAAUAAGAUGAACGAUUAAAUUUGGUCAUGGAAACUCAUGCCCGUGUUUAAA